GGCAUAUGGUUAUUUCUCCUGGUUUGAUCCCCCUGUGCCUGAGCAUUUGAAGAAUGUAAUUCUUGGUUUGCUGUCAAGGCUUAAUGAGUAUGAAGUUGUAAAGAACAGAGGAGCCUUGAGUGUAAGCACAUUUUGUGGAAGAAUUAUGUUUGUAACAGUAGCAAUAUUAUUGGUUUUGGUAUAUUGGUUGUUGUGUUCAACUUGACUAUGGUUAUGGCUAAAGUUAUUUGUUGGUUUUAUUAAGUUGGUUACUAUGUGCAACUUGAUUGUGAUUUUU
rnacentral:misc_RNA from 1 species